AAGAAUCAGCGAGGGCAUAAGACCCUGCUGAGCUCGAUUCUCGUCCGACGUUGUGAAAUGACU
rnacentral:rRNA from 1 species